rnacentral:rRNA from 1 species
AUUGAACGCUGGCGGCAGGCCUAACACAUGCAAGUCGAGCGAGCGGCGGACGGGUGAGUACUGUCUGGGAACCUGCCUGAUGGAGGGGGAUAACUACUGGAAACGGUAGCUAAUACCGCAUACCAUCAGAUGUGCCCCGCUGGGAUUAGCUAGUCGGUGGGGUAACGGCUCACCUAGGCGACGAUCCCUAGCUGGUCUGAGAGGAUGACCAGCCACACGGGAACGGAGCAGCGGUCCAGCUUCCAACGGGAGGCAGCAGUGGGGAAUAUGGCACAAUGGGCGCAAGCCUGAUGCAGCCAUGCCGCGGGGGUGAAGAAGGCCUUCGGGUUGUAAAGCACUGUCAGCGGGGAGGCGUUACCCGCAGGAGAAGCACCGGCUAACUCCGUUCCAGCAGCCGCGGUAAUAC